CUCAAAUCCCUCCCUGCAUGAGCACCCCAAACCAUCAGCUCCACCUGUCCAGGGAUCCACGUCCUCAUCUAGCGAUGACUGGCUGAGCCAAGACAGGGAGGAAAAUGAGAGCCGUCAGUAUAACUGCCCAGGUCAUGCCUCCAAAACACAGCAGAGUCUCACCUUUAGGACAGCGGCGUGCUAUCUGCACACACUAUGCUAUCCUGGGUGUGAAGGCCGAGUGAGUUUGCUCUAUCUGACACUGCAGAACCUUUAUGUGCAUACAGCUCAACUGCAGCAGGAGAAAUGGGAUAUAUUUCUCCAGAUUCUAGGGACUCUAUUCAGCAGAGAGAAUGAUCUUCUAAACAAGCAAUUCCAGCAACAAGAAAAGGAUGUAGAACAGCUGAAGAGGGGUAUGCCAUCUGAACUACUGCCCUGGGAGAAGAUGGCAGUACCCAGCCCAUCAGUCUGUUCCACAGAGGAUGUGGAGAAAGCAGGAAGAGAGAAACUGGACCACA
ensembl:lncRNA